rnacentral:rRNA from 1 species
UCCUUAGAUGUUCUGGGCCGCACGCGCGCUACACUGAUGCAUUCAACGAGCCUAUCCUUGACCGACAGGUCCGGGUAAUCUUUGAAUCUGCAUCGUGACGGGGAUAGAUUAUUGCAAUUAUUAAUCUUCAACGAGGAAUGCCUAGUAGGCGCAAGUCAUCAGCUUGCGUCGAUUACGUCCCUGCCCUUUGUACACACCGCCCGUCGCUCCUACCGAUUGGGUGUGCUGGUGAAAUGUUCGGAUCGGCCGUUUGUCGCGGUUUCCGCGGCUCGUGGCUGAGAAGUUCAUUAAACCCUCCCACCUAGAGGAAGGAGAAGUCGUAACA